GACGAACGCUGGCGGCGUGCUUAACACAUGCAAGUCGAGCGGUAAGGCCCUUUCGGGGGUACACGAGCGGCGAACGGGUGAGUAACACGUGGGUGACCUGCCCUUAGCUCUGGGAUAACCCCGGGAAACCGGGGCUAAUACCGGAUAUGACUCCGAGCGGCAUCACUUGGAGUGGAAAGAUUUAUCGGCUAGGGAUGGGCCCGCGGCCUAUCAGCUUGUUGGUGGGGUAACGGCCUACCAAGGCGA
rnacentral:rRNA from 1 species